CACCGGCAGCUCUAGUGGUAGCAGUUUUUAUUGGGCCUAAAGCGUCCGUAGCCGGUUUAUUAAGUCUCUGGUGAAAUCCUGUAGCUUAACUGUGGGAAUUGCUGGAGAUACUAGUAGACUUGAGAUCGGGAGAGGUUAGAGGUACUCCCAGGGUAGAGGUGAAAUUCUGUAAUCCUGGGAGGACCGCCUGUGGCGAAGGCGUCUAGCUGGAACGAUUCUGACGGUGAGGGACGAAAGCUAGGGGC
rnacentral:rRNA from 1 species